rnacentral:rRNA from 1 species
CCUACGGGAGGCAGCAGUGGGGAAUCUUGCGCAAUGGGCGAAAGCCUGACGCAGCGAUGCCGCGUGCGGGAUGAAGGCCUUCGGGUUGUAAACCGCUUUCAGCAGGGACGAAAUUGACGGUACCUGCAGAAGAAGCCCCGGCCAACUACGUGCCAGCAGCCGCGGUAAUACGUAGGGGGCGAGCGUUGUCCGGAUUUAUUGGGCGUAAAGAGCUCGUAGGCGGUUCGAUAAGUCGGAUGUGAAAUCUCCACGCUCAACGUGGAGAGGCCAUUCGAUACUGUCGUGACUAGAGUCCGGUAGGGGAGUGUGGAAUUCCCGGUGUAGCGGUGAAAUGCGCAGAGAUCGGGAGGAACACCCGUAGCGAAGGCGGCACUCUGGGCCGGUACUGACGCUGAGGAGCGAAAGCGUGGGGAGCAAACAGGAUUAGAUACCCUGGUAGUCCACGCCGUAAACGUUGGGCACUAGGUGUGGGACUCUAUCGACGGGUUCCGUGCCGUAGCUAACGCAUUAAGUGCCCGCCUGGGGAGGUACGGCGCGAGACGAAACGUACGAAGAAGUAGACGGCGUGAGACGUUGCGACGGCGACGACGAGGGAGGAGG